rnacentral:tRNA from 1 species
GGAGAGGUGGGUGAGUGGCUGAAACCACCGGUUUGCUAAACCGACGUACGGGUCAUUCCGUACCACGAGUUCGAAUCUCGUCCUCUCCGCAA